rnacentral:rRNA from 1 species
UACGUAGGGUGCGAGCGUUUAAUCGGAAUUACUGGGCGUAAAGGGUGCGCAGGCGGCGUCGCAAGUCAGGCGUGAAAUCCCCGGGCUUAACCUGGGAACUGCACUUGAAACUACGAUGCUGGAGUAUGGCAGAGGGAGGUGGAAUUCCACGUGUAGCGGUGAAAUGCGUAGAGAUGUGGAGGAACACCGAUGGCGAAGGCAGCCUCCUGGGCCAAUACUGACGCUCAUGCACGAAAGCGUGGGGAGCAAACAGG